ensembl:piRNA 21ur-8922 ncRNA
UAAGGACAUUGAAUAAAAAUA